rnacentral:rRNA from 1 species
UACGAAGGGGGCUAGCGUUGCUCGGAAUUACUGGGCGUAAAGGGUGCGUAGGCGGUCCUAUAAGUAUGGUGUGAAAUCUCCCGGCUUAACUGGGAGGGUGCGCUAUAGACUGUGGGACUAGAGUGUGGGAGAGGAAAGUGGAAUUCCUGGUGUAGCGGUGAAAUGCGUAGAUAUCAGGAGGAACACCGGUGGUGUAAACGGCUUUCUGGACCAUAAACUGACGCUGAGGCACGAAAGCGUGGGUAGCAAACAGG